rnacentral:lncRNA from 1 species
CAAAACGAAAAAAAUCAAAACUUUAAUAAGUUUUAAAACUCAACCAAAUCGAAUCGAAAAUUAUAUAAACCGAAUCAGAUAGUCUUAUUUAAUUUGAUUCGAUUUGAUUUUCGAUUUGGGGCCAAACUGUGCACACCCUAGCCAUGGUGUAGGGCGACCUCUUAGGCUUCGUUUGGGAUUGCGGUUUGGGAUUGCGGGGAGAUUGCGUUACGUGCGGUGAGAAACGACGAUGGAAAGAUACCAUGUUUGUUUCCGUACGUAAUAUUGCGUUCCGCAUAUCGCGAUGAGUCAGUUACGAUAUAUUUUCUGCGGUCCCACCGGAGAACACAGAAAUAUAUCCCUAUAUGCUUUUUUCUCAACUCCAUUUUAUCUAAUAGCGUUAGAUAGAUCUCAAUACCAAACUAAACCUUAGUCUUUGGUACAUUGCAUCGUUAUCCAAAGCAUAUGAAAAAGCUUAUAUUUUGAGGUCCAUUUUGUCACCACGAUCUAUUACAAGUUUCAACAAUCAAGAUUCCAAAGGAGUAAAUAUAUAAAAGGAUAAUGUUUGCUCUACUUCCAAAGUGCACCCUUAUCAAAGUGUCUCCAUUCUAUUCAAUUCCAAGGGUAAAAUAGUUAGUUUAUGAAAAUAAACACUAUAUAAUAAAAAGUGAGGCUAAUAUGUUUCUAGAAACACAAAGUUUUCUGUACUUUCACAUCAUUUUCGAUGUUGGGACUUUGAAAUUAACGAUCGACUCCGUUAUAUUUGAUCGAGGGUAUUUGAAGUACCUAAAAAAUAGAUUUUGCGGUUUUUCGAUAUCAUUUGUCUAGUGAUCGAAGGGGCUCAAAAUCAAUGGCUGAAAAUAAAAAUCUUACCAAAUGUGAUGAUAUGACAUUAAAAUUUUAAAUCAAAAAUAUUGAUUUUGUUUUAUAUAGUAUAAAAAAUAUUUUAUCAAAAUUUCACGUGAUUUGAAUGUUUCUAUAUCGUUAAAUUUGUAAACGGCUCACCAUGGCCAUUAAAAUUAUUAAUUUUGAGCCCCUUCAAUUACUAGGCAAAUGAUGUCAAAAAAUUAUAAAAUUUAUUUUCUAGAUACUUUAAGUACUCUAGAUCAAGUCUAAUAGAGCCGAUUGUCGAUUCAAAAGUUCUAACAUACAAAAUGACUUGGAAACUCGGAGGAUUCCAUACUUUCAGAAGCAUACAAGCCUUACUCAUAUAAUAUAAUGAGUUAUAUUUUGUUGGAUCAAUUUGUUCGAUAAUAUGGUAUUAGAAUG